UACGUAGGGGGCAAGCGUUGUCCGGAUUCAUUGGGCGUAAAGAGCGUGUAGUCGGCCAGGCAGGUCCGCUGUGAAAACUCGAGGCUCAACCUCGAGAUGUCGGUGGAAACCGUCUGGCUAGAGUCCGGAAGAGGAGAGUGGAAUUCCCGGUGUAGCGGUGAAAUGCGCAGAUAUCGGGAAGAACACCCGUGGCGAAGGCGGCUCUCUGGGACGGUACUGACGCUGAGACGCGAAAGCGUGGGGAGCGAACAGG
rnacentral:rRNA from 1 species